rnacentral:rRNA from 1 species
CCUACGGGUGGCUGCAGUGGGGAAUUUUGGACAAUGGGGGCAACCCUGAUCCAGCCAUGCCGCGUGCGGGAAGAAGGCCUUCGGGUUGUAAACCGCUUUUAGCCGGGAAGAAAAGGCGAGGGAUAACACCCUUCGUUCUUGACGGUACCGGCGGAAUAAGCACCGGCUAACUACGUGCCAGCAGCCGCGGUAAUACGUAGGGUGCGCGCGUUAAUAGGAAUUACUGGGCGGAUAGCGUACGCAGGCGGUUAAAGCCCCGGGCUCAACCUGGGGAUGGCAUUGGAUACUGGCGGGCUUGAGUGUGGCAGAGGGGGGUGGAAUUCCGCGUGUAGCAGUGAAAUGCGUAGAGAUGCGGAGGAACACCGAUGGCGAAGGCAGCUCCCUGGGCUGACACUGACGCUCAGGCACGAAAGCGUGGGGAGCAAACAGGAUUAGAUACCCCAGUAGUC